UUUAUAAUAUAUAUAUAUAAAUAUUUUGUGAUCAAACUUAGGGAUUAAUAAAAAAUUAGUUAUUCUUACUAAUCCAUCCUCAAAACCAACCACUAAGUCUUAUAGCUUAAUCUUUUGUCAUUUUGUUUAGGUAUAUAAUACUAAGAUGCCAUGCCUUAGAUGGAUCAUAUAAUCUUAGUUUCACCAGUUCCUAUUAGGACACCUGUUUUGCAGAAGUGGGCUAAGUAUGGACUCCUUAAUUAAUUAACUGAUUUGAUAUUCUGGUACAGAACAAUAUCAACUUGCAUAACCAUAAACCAUUAUCUUAACUUUAACCAAUCAUAUCCAAUCCUAACUCCCUAUAAAUACCCUUCUUCUUCAUGUCUUCAUUCCUCAGAAUUCUUUUCUCUCUUUUGCUUGUUGGGGUCCAAAUCUUCUUUCUGUUGAAUUUCCCUUUGUAAGUAUCUGCUUUUACCCUAGCAUAUCUAUUUUUACCCUAGUAUUUUUUUUUACCUAAGUGGGUAUUUGACUAUAUAGCUGCAGAAAUAAUUUACUGAGGUGGGUUUUGUUCAAGUUCUUUAAUUGCUUUCUUCUUUUUUUUUUUUUUUUUUUGUUUUGUUUUGUUUUGUUUUUGCUUACUUCUGCUUGAUGGGUUAUGUUCUUUUUUAGGGUUUAGUGUUGGUUCAAUUUUUCUUGGGGCAGAUCUCAAGGCCUUGACAGUAAUCAGUCAGUAUUGGCGGAUGCGGCAUCAUCAAGAUUCACAUAAGCUUUUUUAAUAGUUUGAUCAAUGGAGGAUGAGGGAGGGGUCUCCUUUUGCUCCAAAGAGCUCUCUUUCUUAUAUGAGAAUCUUGAUGAUGCUGCAUCAGCAAAUAUAUGACUAUUCUUCUCCUUUACCUUCAAUUCCAACCUUCAGAGGAUACAAUAUGCAUGUCCCAGUUUUGAUAUGAAAGAUUGAUCAUGAUGCCUUUCUUACUUGGUAGAGGUUGCCUAUGUUUGGAUGGGGUCUUUUCAAAGUUUUAGAAUCAACUCUUGUUUGAGAAGGGAGCAACAAUUAAGAGAAACUAAAAUUGGAGGGAGUGAAGCCUUGCUCUAUACAUGCUGCUCCAUGUAGGACCUUGUCAAAGUUUGAGGGGGAAGCAAUGGCAGAUCCUGCAAUUUACAAGAGUACUGUUGGUGCAUUACAAUAUCUGACUUUGAUAAGACCUGAAAUUGUGUAUAUUGUGAGUAAAUUGAGCCAAUCUCUACAUAGUCCAACUUCAAUUCACUAGCAGGCUUGCAAAAGAGUUUUAAGGUACUUAAAAGGAACAGUGACACAUGAGAUUUCGUUCAAGCUAGGCAAAAGUCUGUCACUGAGUGCCUUUGCUGAUACUGAUUGGGUCGGCUGUCCUGAUGAUAGAUGUUCUACAAGUGCUUACUAUGUAUACAUAGCUCCCACUCUAGUUUUAUGGAACUCUAAGAAACAAACGGUUGUUUCUAGAUCAAGCACAGAGUUUAAGUAUAGAGCUCUUCCGUAAGUGGCUACUGAGAUAUGCUGGUUAAGGUCUCUAAUGGAUGAGUUGGGUAUUAAGUUGUGUUCCUCUUCUAUGGUUUGGUGCGAUAAUAUUGGAACAACUUCUCUUGCAGCUAAUCCAGUAUAUCAUGCAAGGACCAAGCACAUAGAAAUUGAUGAACACUUUGUAAGAGACAUGGUAAUGAGAAGGCAGUUAAACCAAAUAUGUUCAUACAAGUGAGUAGAUAACAAAUGUAUUGACUAAAGGAGUAUCAAUCUCCAGAUUCCUCAUAAUUAAGGACAAGCAAGUAAAUUCUAAGGUGUCGUAACUAUAGUGACUUUUUAAUAUCUUUAUGUAUUUAUUGAAUAAAAAUUAUAAAAUUCUAGAUUAAUUUAUAUAGAAAGCUUUUUUUCUGGAGAAAAUUUACAUAAAAAUAUUUUAGCAUAUAAUUUUAUAUAAAAGUUACAUAUUAAAAUAUUUUAUAUAUAUAUUUAUUCCAAAUUUUAUAAAUUUUCUUUAAAUAAACAUAUAAAAGUAUUAAAAAGUCAUUGUAACUACAACAUUUUAGAAUUCAUUUAAGAAGCAAGAAAAAUAAUAAGAAAGAAAGAGUACAAGCGCAAUAAUAACUACUAAGUGAUAAAAGAAAAUAAAUAAAUAAA